rnacentral:rRNA from 1 species
AGCGAACGCUGGCGGUAUGCUUAACACAUGCAAGUCGAACGGCAGCACAGUAGCAGCCUGCUCUUACGGGUUGCCAGACGCGUACGGGUCAGGAAUACAUCGUACUCUACUCUUUCGUGUGGGCUCACGUAGGGAAACUUACGCCAAUACCGCAUACGACCUACGGGUGAAAGCAUCUGAUCUUCUGAUCUUUUGCGAAUGAACGAGCCGAUGAUGGACUUGUUAGUUGGCGGGUUAAAGGCCCAGCAAGGCGGCGAUCCGUAGCUGGUGUGAGAGGAUGGUCGGCCGCACGAGAACGGAGACGCGGACCAGACUCCUACGGGAGGCAGCAGUGGGGAAUAGUGGACAGUGGGCGCAAGCCUGGUCCAGCCAGACCGCGUGGGUGAAGAAGGCCUUCGGGUUGUAAAGCCCUUUUGUUGGGAGAAAAAAGCAGCAGGUUGAUAACAAGCUGUUCUGACGGUACCCAAAGAAUAAGCACCGGCUAACUUCGUG